rnacentral:rRNA from 1 species
UACGUAGGGGCCAAGCGUUGUCCGGAUUUAUUGGGCGUAAAGAGCUCGUAGGUGGUUCGGCAAGUCAGUUGUGAAAUCCCUCGGCUCAACUGAGGAACUGCACGGGAGACUGCCGGGCUUGAGUUCGGGAGAGGGAAGCGGAAUUCCGGGUGGUAGCGGUGAAAUGCGUAGAUAUCCGGAGGAACACCGGUGGCGAAGGCGGCUUCCUGGACCGACACUGACGCUGAGGCGCGAAAGCUAGGGGAGCAAACGGG